UGGAUGAUUUGAUUUAGU
rnacentral:miRNA from 1 species